rnacentral:rRNA from 1 species
AGUGAACGCUGGCGGUAGGCCUAACACAUGCAAGUCGAACGGCAGCACAGUAAGAGCUUGCUCUUACGGGUGGCGAGUGGCGGACGGGUGAGGAAUACAUCGGAAUCUACUUUUUCGUGGGGGAUAACGUAGGGAAACUUACGCUAAUACCGCAUACGACCUACGGGUGAAAGCAGGGGAUCUUCGGACCUUGCGCGAAUGAAUGAGCCGAUGUCGGAUUAGCUAGUUGGCGGGGUAAAGGCCCACCAAGGCGACGAUCCGUAGCUGGUCUGAGAGGAUGAUCAGCCACACUGGAACUGAGACACGGUCCAGACUCCUACGGGAGGCAGCAGUGGGGAAUAUUGGCCAAUGGGCGCAAGCCUGAUCCAGCCAUACCGCGUGGGUGAAGAAGGCCUUCGGGUUGUAAAGCCCUUUUGUUGGGAAAGAAAAGCAGCAGGUUAAUACCCCGCUGUUCUGACGGUACCCAAAGAAUAAGCACCGGCUAACUUCGUG